AGCUGAAGGUGAUGCAGGAGAACAAAGGUCAUAGGAGACCCGGUAGCCUUUCAGUGGCGGCAGAGGUAAAAGAAACCUUGACAGAUUUGAGAAGUAGAUGAUUGAACAUAUAUGUUGGAGGAAUGAAAAGGUGUUUGAGAUAAGCAAAUCUGUAUAUGUUGUGGAAUUGAGAAAAGCAUAUGGCGAUCUUUCGUUGUACAGACAGUUGUGUUCAAAGCUUUCGAAUGAGCUAGGCGUAAGAGAAGAGAUUUUGGCUGCACAAGUGUAAUGCCGGAGUUCUUUAGCUUUGGUCUUUUUAGGUUCAGGUCUGAACUUGUAAAUUUUUCUUUUCUGCCUGAAGAGGUAUAAAAUAAAGGGAAAAGUUUUGUGCAAGGCUGUGCAUGGUUUACCAUGCGUUGAACCGUUGGAUGGAUGAAGGGCCAUGUAUCUUACACGGUCAUGUCCAUCCAAUGGUUUAGUGCAUGACCAUGCACAUAACCUUUUGCCUUAGAAUAAUGACCCUUUAAAUGUAUUGUCCUUGAAAAGCCCAAAUCAAUUUAAGCAAUGGGUGAAGGGAUUCCCCUAUCACCAAUGUUCCAUCGCAAUUCCUUCACUAUCAUCUCAGAAAUUAUAGCAUAUUCAGCUCUAAGAUUUUACAGGUUAGGGUUGCCUUCUCAUACAUGAAAAUAGGGCAUAUUCAGCUCUGAUUAGCUGCUGUGAGCGGCCAAAUCUGAUUUU